GCUUUACUGUAGCUUGGAUUGGAUUGGGCUUUUUUGCGCAGCCUAGGUGGGAGGCGAMGAUGCUUUCUUUGCGGGGAAGGAUGAGCCCUCMGUGAGAGACCACUCUGGADGAGCUAAAAUUCUAAUGGUGAUCCUUGAAUCAGGACGCUUGACAGUGUCAGGUGGGCAGUUUGUCUGGGGCGGUCGCCUCCUAAAAGGUAACGGAGGUGCGCAAAGGUUCCCUCAAGCUGGACGGAAAUCAGCUGUAGAGUGUAAAGGYAUAAGGGAGCUUGACUGCAAGACCUACAAGUCGAGCAGGGGCGAAAGCCGGCCUUAGUGAUCCGACGGUGCCGCGUGGAAGGGCCGUCGCUCAACGGAUAAAAGUUACUCUAGGGAAA
rnacentral:rRNA from 1 species